UGGAAGGAGGCAUCUCCCUGGGUC
rnacentral:piRNA from 1 species